UUUAUCUCAAUUUGUUUUUAUCUUGAAUAUUGUUGAUAUUAUAAACGACAAACUCAGGAAAUGGAUUGGUGGGCGGCGGAAUGAAGGGGGAGGUGCGAUGGCGGAAUCGACGAUGAACGGUGGUGCAAUCGGAUGGGCUUUGAAUAUGUUUUUUUUAAUGUGGGUCCCACUUAUAUUAAGAUACUAGUUUUUUACCCGCGCGAUGCGGCGGGAAACAUAUCACUUAGGUUGGUGAGUUUAGAGCUAUGUACGGAGCGGUUCAGUUUUGAGCCAUAACCAAAACCAAAUUCGCGAUGCAACGAAAAACACAACACUUAUUAGUAAUUCUAAGGGUGUGCAUGAGAAGGUUCAGCUCAGU
rnacentral:lncRNA from 1 species